rnacentral:rRNA from 1 species
GCCAGCAGCAAAAGCAUAUUGAAUGUACCAGUUCCCAAUGGCUGAAAUCAAGCAACGCUGCGCUUGGUUUGGUAUCUAGAUGGAUGACCAUAUGGCAAUCACGUGCUGCUGACU